AUUGAACGCUGGCGGCGUGCCUAACACAUGCAAGUCGAGCGGCAGCGCGGGAGCAAUCCUGGCGGCGAGCGGCGGACGGGUGAGUAACGCUUGGGAAUCUGCCUGUUAGUGGGGGACAACCCGGGGAAACUCGGGCUAAUACCGCAUACGCACUACGGUGGAAAGCCGGGGACCGCAAGGCCUGGCGCUAACAGAUGAGCCCAAGUCGGAUUAGCUAGUUGGUAGGGUAACGGCCACCAAGGCGACGAUCCGUAACUGGUCUGAGAGGGCGACCAGUCACACCGGAACUGAGACACGGUCCGGACUCCUACGGGAGGCAGCAGUGGGGAAUAUUGGACAAUGGGGGAAACCCUGAUCCAGCGACGCCGCGUGGGUGAAGAAGGCCUGCGGGUUGUAAAGCCCUUUCAGUGGGGAAGAAAAGACCUCGACCUAACACGUCGGGGUCUUGACGUAACCCAUAGAAGAAGCACCGGCUAACUCUGUGCCAGCAGCCGCCGUAAG
rnacentral:rRNA from 1 species